rnacentral:rRNA from 1 species
GAUGAACGCUGGCGGCGUGCCUAAUACAUGCAAGUCGAGCGAACAGACGAGGAGCUUGCUCCUCUGACGUUAGCGGCGGACGGGUGAGUAACACGUGGAUAACCUACCUAUAAGACUGGGAUAACUUCGGGAAACCGGAGCUAAUACCGGAUAAUAUAUUGAACCGCAUGGUUCAAUAAUGAAAGACGGUUUUGCUGUCACUUAUAGAUGGAUCCGCGCCGCAUUAGCUAGUUGGUAAGGUAACGGCUUACCAAGGCGACGAUGCGUAGCCGACCUGAGAGGGUGAUCGGCCACACUGGAACUGAGACACGGUCCAGACUCCUACGGGAGGCAGCAGUAGGGAAUCUUCCGCAAUGGGCGAAAGCCUGACGGAGCAACGCCGCGUGAGUGAUGAAGGUCUUCGGAUCGUAAAACUCUGUUAUUAGGGAAGAACAAAUGUGUAAGUAACUAUGCACGCCUUGACGGUACCUAAUCAGAAAGCCACGGCUAACUACGUG